rnacentral:lncRNA from 1 species
UCCACAUUAUAGUUUUCAAUUCCUUCCACGUAUUGAUAGGUCGCUCCCCACUUCUCCGUCUCAAAGUCACCACCUAAUCCCACCAAGUGAUUGUGAUUGCAUGGUCCGUGAAUUCAAGAACCGCAAUUUUCAUCUUCUUCUCUCCUGAGUAAUUGUGGCAAUCAAAGAUUAACUCAAUUUUCUUCUUCCAAUUCAAGUAGGCCUCCGGAUCACUCCUACCUUUGAACGAAGGAAUUGUCAUUUUAAUGUUACUCAAAUUCCCAUCCACCUCGUCUCCACCGAGAUUCCUAACUCUCCUUUCUUGCCUAACUCCUCUAUUUUUACCCCUUCCAAUAUCUGCAUCCACCAUCGCAUCUUCAUCCAUCCCACUAUCAACCUUCGUGUUUGACAGGCAAUGGAUUUUGCCUUCCCCCCAUGCAUUCUGCCUAUUCAUCCGAUCCCUCAUAUCUACACAUAUCCGCUCAAUCCUUCGCACUGAGUCCUCUAGCAUGGAAACCUGAUCAUUAAUUCUUCCUGAACUUGAUCCUUCCCUGUCAGACUUAAGUUUUUUUUUUUCUACCUCACAAUUGUUCACUUGGAAUUUCACUCAAUAUGACUUUUUCCCUCGAUUUUUACCACUCGUUGAUUUCACAAAGUCCCCAAAAAAAUAAUUUUGGAACUCAAUCAAAAAUUUAAUCAAGUGAAAUUCAAACCAGUGUGAGUGAGAUUACAAGACCAAGGAAUUUAG